CCUCCUAUAGCUCAGCUGGUUAGAGCGCACGCCUGAUAAGCGUGAGGUCGAUGGUUCGAGUCCAUCUAGGCUAG
rnacentral:tRNA from 1 species